rnacentral:lncRNA from 1 species
AAAUAUUACGCAGAUCAUAAAUGACAAAAAGAAAUUUUUUUUCCUCCUAUUUUCAUAUUCUGGUGGCUGCGAUGAUCCACGCAGCAUCAGAUAGCAUAUACAAACAAAUUGGAGUUUUGAACGCACAUCCCAAAAUAAAAGUCGAAUCUUUAUGUGUUCGCUGUAAAGCAAAUCUUGAUUUUGUAAAAUAAAAACAUGCCCCCGAAAAUGUAACAUAAAAAACCCUAAUCUGCAGACCGCGAAAGAAAUAGAAAACAAACAUAAAUAAAUAAAUAAAACAAAAGCAAUUAAUGUUGAUGAUGAGAGCGACAGACAUAUAAGGAUUCUAAGUUCUGACCUUUCCUCUUUGUUAGUCUGUUUUUUUUCUUUUUCUUUUCAAGACCAGGGCCGGAUCUAAAGCUCUAUCAAGCAAGUUCGGGGUGAUGAGAUCUGUUUGAUUAAGACGGGAUCAGCCUGCCUGCCUUCCUUCUCAGAUGAGAAAAGAAUGAAAAGUCCUUCGGCACAAGUACUUGUUUCUGGACGCAGAUUAGACCGACAGAGGGAUCGAAUUGGCUGUGUGUCGCUGCCCCCUCUCUCGCUCUCGCCCCGCCAUCUGCACCACCACCACCAUAGAUGUGUGAGGAAGAAAAAGACAGGUACGGAUAGACAGUUGUCUAAAUUUACGUUCAUACCCCCACUAUUCAUGAAAACAUCCAAAGUAGUAUUUUUCCCAUUUCCAUUCCAUUUGGUAAAUCGAGUGGGAAUUUUGAAAAAAAAAAAAAAAUAUAUAUAUAUAUAUAUAUAUAGCAUGGUUAAAAAAUAUUUCCAAAUAGAGUUAAAUAAGAAAUUAUUUUUAUAAAACAUAAUUUUAUUUUACAAUUGUUUAAAAAAUAAUAAUUUGAAAUUUUGCAUUAAAAUUAUAUUAUUAAAAAAGAAAAUUUCAAUUUUUCAGUAAAAUUUUAUAAAUUUUCUAAUUUCUUAUUGAGAUGAAAGUAUGGAGGAGAGAAUAGCGAGAGAAUUAACGGUGGCAAUGAGGUUCAUAAAUCAAUACUCGACCUAAUAUUGUAUAAUAACGAUCUGCUCCAACCGUGUAGAGAUUGUCCGUUUUGGACCAAAAAAGACCAUCACGGCUUUAAAACGCGUUUAUUUGGUUAAGAGGAGUAUGCACAUAUAUAGCGCUAAGAACUUUCUCCCUUGUCCAAUGUGGGAUAUUACAAACACCCUUUCAUCGAAAUACAAUGUCCUCGUUGUGUCCUAUGAGAUUGUGGGGUCAAAUAGACAAACACCCUUUAUAGGGCCAAAUAAACCCCCACACGGGGGUUCAGGAUCGGUUAUGAUACCAUUUAUAAUGGCUCGCAUCGGAUAUGAGAGAAAAUUCUUAGCAUUAUAUAUAUGUAAAGGCUCCUCUUAACCAAAUAGACGCGUUUUAAAGUCGUGAGGGCUCAUUUGGGUCUAAAAGGGACAAUAUCUACACGGUUGGGAGCAGGUCGUUACAAAUGGUAUCAGAGUCGAUCCCCAACCCCGAUGUGGUGGUUUGUUUGGUCGUAUAAGAGGUGUUUGUCUGUUUGACCCUGCAAUCCAGUGGAACACAACGAGGACAUUGUGUUCGCAUGGGGAGAGGGGGUGUUUGUGACAUCCCACAUCAGAUAGGGGGAAAAGUUCCUAACGUUAUAUAAGUAUGAAUUCCUCUUAACCUUGUAGACGUGUUUUAAAGCCUUGAGGACCCCUCUUUGGGUCCAAAGCGGACAAUAUCUACAUGGUUGGGAGCGGAUAAAAUUUUUUUGCAUUUAAAACCCCUAAAUAUAAAUUAGAUCUUUCAUAUAUUCUCUAUUCAAAAAACCCUUUUACAUAGAGAUUAGAAAGAUUAGAAAGCAUAGGGUUGAAGAUUUGGAGAUUUAGGGUUUGAAGAUCAAUUUUUCAGGUAAAAUUUUUAAUCUUUAAAUUAAUAUUUUAUAUUUGUUAAUUAGUUUUGAACACUUUAGAUAUUCUUUGAAAUAUCUUAAUUUUGAUUAGAGUUCGUUUAAUUAAUUUCUAUGUCAAAAAGAUUGAAAGUUUAUGAACAUAGUUUGAUUUAUUAAUGGAGAUCGAUAAAUUUUGAUUACUCAAAUGAAUAGAUCUAAAUAAAAAAAAAUUAUAUAGUUUCGGAUAUGAAAAUUACAUAAAAUUUGUGAGUAUGGAGGUUAAAAGUUUUGACUUUAGAGAGGGAAAAAAAUGAUGAAAGAUGUAUAGGAAGGAUUUGACAUGUAGAAAAAAAAAAUUGCAUGGGAUAUUUGUUAAGUUUCAAUAGAAGAUUUAAAUAAUAGAAAUAAUAGUUUAAUGCAAAUAAAUAUUCUUAAAAUAUUUAAUUUAGAUAAAUUAGAAAAAUAAAUAAAUUAUUGUUUAGGAAGUUGAAAAUAAUAUUGGAUGGUAAUAAUAUUAAUAUAAGAAAUUAAUUAGGAUCCCUAAUACUAAAAAAAACAUUUUUAAAAUUGUCAAAUUUAUAUAUUUAGAUAAAUAAUCAAUAUUGUGUAUGAUAUUAUGUUAGAUGAUGAGUAAAUUCGUUAAGAUAAAUACUUCAAGUUUUUGAGCGCUUCUUCAAGGUAAGGGAAAUUAAUGCAGUUUUUUAUAAAAGAAAAUAAUUUUCUUUUUAUAUUGUAUUUUGAAAUGUGUAAAAAUAUUAUUUCUAUCAUUUUCGUAUGAAUCAAAUAUGUCUUUUGUAUGGAAAGUGUAUUUUAGAAUUUUCUUUGUUUAUGAAAAGUGAAAAAUUGAAGAGAUAUGAUAUUUUGUUUGCUAAGUUUGAAUUAAUGAAAUAAAGUGUUUGACUUACAUGGUCCUAGUCAACGGGUUAUAAUUGUUGACAUUUUCGGCCCUAAUCAAUAGGUUAUAAUAGUUGAUAUUAUAUGGUCAUAGUUAACGGGUUAUAAUAGUUGACCUUAUGGUCCUAGUCAACAGGUUAUAAUUGUUGACAUUUUCGGCCCUAAUCAACAGGUUAUAAUAGUUGAUAUUAUAUGGUCAUAGUUAACGGGUUAUAAUAGUUGACCUUAUGGUCCUAGUCAAUGGGUUAUAAUUGUUGACAUUUGGUUUUGUUCACCUUAACUAGAACAAAUUUGAAGCUAGUCACUCAUUUGCGAAGUCUCACUUAAUUGAGCAUCAUUUGUUAUUUGAUAACUAGAGUAAAGAUAUUUUGAAUGCAUUUGAUUUGGUUUUGAUGAUAAAUUGUUUUGAAUUGGAUAUAAGAAAAUUUUGUUGAAAAGUUUUGAAUAUAUUAGCAUGUUUAACUCAAAAGUUUUGAUGAAAAUGAAUAUAUGUUAUAUCUCUUGUUUGUAAUUAUAAUUAAAAAUGUUUGAUCCAUGAAAUUGUAUUGAUGUUCCUUAUCGAGUUUUAAGCUCAUGGCCCUUCGUUGAUAAUUUUUUUUAGAUACUCUCAGUUUGGCGAGGAGUGAUGGUUAGGCUGAGGAAUUUUUCUUUGUUAGGAUUUGGUUCAAACUUUAUUUUGGACAUUAUUUAGAUACUAAAAUUUAAUUCUCAUUUAAAUUAUUUAAAUUUGGAGUUAUUUGGACAAUAACACUCUGGUUGAUGUGUUAGUUUUUUUUAAAGUUGAUACUUGAAAAUUUUAGAAUCUUAUCCUACUACUCCGAAUAGGAAUUUGGUAAUUGGUAAAUUUUCAGUUACAAUAUGAAUGUUUAUGUCUUUUCCAUUUUGAGCCUUUGGGCUUGAGGUGUGAAAUGGUCAUCAUACCCUUGGAAUGGGUUUUGAAGCAUGACAUGUAUGGUCAAUUUUGAGUCUUUAUUUUUGAACUAGUAUAUUUAGGUUAUAGGUUCGUAAAUAUGCUACAAUUGUUAUCUACGUUAGUGAAAAGUCAAUAUAUAUAGAAUGAGAGAGAAAACUAAGGAAUUAUAAUUAAUAUUCUUUUUGUUAAUUUCAUUUUAAAUUUAUGAGAAGUUGUUAUAAGAUAUUAAAAUUGAGAGAUCGAACAUUGAAUCGAAAAAGUUAAUGAUUCAUAAUUCACUAAUUGGGUUGAUGGUUGAAUUAUAAUCGAGACAGUGAAGUAAUAAAUAUAUAAUUUAUAUUUUAUUUAAAUUAAAAAUAAUUAUAAAAAAUUUAAUAUAUAUAUAUAUAUAAUUAAAAUUAUUAAUAAUAUGUCAUUUUGUAUAUUUGAUAUUUGAAAUUAAAUAAUAAAGAUAAAUACAAAUGUAUUAAUAUAUUGAAUUUUAUUAAAUAGAAUAUGUAUAAUAUUUAAAUAUGAAUAUAUAUUUAAGAUGAAAAUAAUAUAAAUAUUUAUGGAUUUUGUUAUUUUAAAAUUUAAAAUUUUAUUAUAUAUAAUUAAUUUAUAUUAUUUUUCAUAUUUAUUAUUUAUCAUUGAUAAUUACUAUAAAAAUAAACAUAGUUAUAAAUAUUUAUAUUUUUGUUAAACAAUAGGCUCGAGCUCCUAUCAUGCAAGAUUCUUUUUUAUUAAAGACAAAAUCUAUCCCACAUCAUAAAAUGACAAAGCAAAUGUGUGAAAUAAAUACAAAUGCACAACUCAAAGGGUAACUAAUUGUGAUGGCGAGCUUUGGAGGGCAACAGAGAAAGUCCACCUAGGUGUUUGUCAAACAAGGGUUGAUUGAUUCAUAUGAAACUAGACAAUCCAUCCGACUCGGUGGUUCGAAGACGGCCCAACCCUUGGACAUUUCACGAACCAAACCGGAUCGGAAACGUUGUUGGUCGACCAUUGGAUCGACUUCUGAUUUUUAAAACAAUAUUAUUUUGUCAUCUUUUUGGAAUCUUCAGUAAUUGAUCUUACUGUUAUCAUCAAUAUAGACACUCUACUAAACAACAUAAAUUAUUUGCAUCUUCAUGGUUUUGUUUGAAUUCCUUUUUUAUGUAUCAUAUUUUGGAUAAAUUUCCCUAUCAAUUUCACAAAUCCAUUUACUUUCAUAUAACAAAUUGGGUAUUAGAGUACACAACAACAAAACAUGUAGUUGGUGAAAAUGUCAAAUGAGUCAUCAUCCAUGAAAACUAUGAUCUCAAAUGCCAAAUUUGAGAUUAAAACUUUUAAUGCUUUGAACAUUUCUAGAAUACAUAACGAGGUUAAAGAUCGAUUGAUCCAAUAUGAUUUAAAUGUGGCAUUAGAAUAGGAAAAACUUGUUGAGGGUAGAAGAAAUUGAAUAGUUACACUUGUGGCACUAUUAUAUCAUAUCUAACCAAGGAUGUGAAGGCUUUUAUAUAUAUAUAUAUAUAUAUAUAUAUAAAAGUUCAAUAUAAAGAAGGUAUGAUUAUGACAACUCAUUUAAAAUGAAUUUGAUAAAAUUCUUAUUGACAGUAAAACUUUUGGAUAUUAAAAUUGAUAAUGAAGUUAAAGGUGUUAUUGUUUCUAAAUUCAUCGUCAAACUCAUAUGAUCACUUGACUACGACCUUACUUUAUGAGAGAGAAAAAUGUUAAAUUCAAAGAUAUCUCAAAUACAUUAACAAAUAAUGAAUAUAGAAAAUUAGAUGUUGAGAAACAAAAUAACUAUUUCUUAGAAGGUUAAACUAUAUGAGGUAGAUUUGAGUAGAAAAAAAAAUGUGGAAAAAAAGAAAAAUCUCAUUCAAAUUCAAAGGUCAUCCUACAAUAAAUGAAUUUUUAUUUUUCCAUAAUAAGAAGUAUUGGAAGAAAGAUUAUCAUAAACUAAAAAUAAAUAAAAUCAAAAAGCUAGUGUUCCAUGUGAUGAAAAUUUUAAUGAUUCAAAUUUUGCCUUGGCUUCCACCUCAUUGUCACAUAGAUGAGUAAGUCUUGGACUCAAGAUAUACUCACCAUAUGUGUCCCAAUAGGGAUUGGUUUUCUAGUUCUAAAAGACUAGAUGGAAGAACUUUGUUGAUGGGUAAUGAUAAUGCCUAUAAAAUACAUAAAGUAACAUUAAGUUAUAUUUACAUAAUAGUAUCACAAGGUGUUUGAUUAAUGUCCAAUAUAUGAAGAAUGAAAUUAGUUCCAUUUCCCUUCAGGAAGAAGGUUGUUGGAUGUAAGUUGGUAUAUGUAUAGAAUGAAAUCUAAUCAAUAAGGAAAGAUUGUAUAGAUAUCUAGGCUAAAUUGUUUACAAAAUGAUAUAUACAAUAGAAAGGCAGCAUUGACAAUAAAGAAGUGUUCUCUCCUAUAAUUAACCGUUUUUCUAUUAGAUUGUUGCUAGCCCUUGUUGCUUAGUAUGAUCUAAAGUUGUCUCAAUUAAAUGUGAAAAUUGUCUUUUUCCACAAUGAUUUAGAUGAAAAUAUAUGUCUUAAUGUAAGGGUUAUAAAGAAUUUGAAAAAGAAUAAUUUUUUCGUAAAUUAACCAAAUAGUUAAAACAAUCUCCUCAACAAUGGCACACACGAUUUGACCAAUUUAUGGUAAGAAAAAAUAAAUAAUAAAAAAUAAAAAACAUUAAAAACUAAUUCGAUUAUUGUGUUUAUUUUAGCAUAUUAUCUUUUAGAAACUUUAUGUAUUUGUUAAUAUAUGUUGAUGAUAUAUUAAUUGUGUGAAACAGUAUGACAAGAAUUGAGAUGUUGAAAAAUCAAUUGAGGAUCGAGUUUGCAAUUACGGAUCUUGGAAAUAAGCGAAAUAUUCUCUAAAUAAAUAUAAUAAGGAACAAAAGAAAGGGGCUGAUUAUAAAAGAAACAUUUUUUUUUUGUUGGGAACCUUGGAUUACUCUGUUCCUUAGCCCUGAAUCUUGUAAGGUGCAUGCAAUUUAUUUAUAGGCUCUUUAGAUCUAAUACAACGAAAAAUAUGACAUUAAAAACCAUAUUAAAACUUAGAUCUAAGGAUUUAGAAGUCAUACUUGUGAUUUGGGUGUUCCGAACUUAAAUCAAAUCCAUAGAAGAUGUCGUUUAUCUAACAAUCUUCCAUUCGAUCUCUCAUUUCACACAUCCUCAUACUAGUACCCUCUUUCUCUCACUUGAGGGUGGUUAGGGUUUGUUCUCUCUUUUUGGAAUAUGAAUGACAAAUGUCUAAAGCUCUAACCCCUAAAUGGGUAUUUAUAAGUUUUCCUAUGAGCUUAAAUGACUUGAGUUCAAAUUGAGUUUGGAUCACCUACUUCAGCUUACCUGGGUCCUAAUUAAUUAAUUAGCUCUAUUGAGCUUCGAUUAAUUAAUUAACCAAAUUCAAAAACUUCAUUCAUUAGAUCUGAUGCAACUUACAUUUUUACCUAAAUGCCCUUAUGUUUUUAUUAAAAUGACUUACGUACACUUGUGAACUAAAAACCCAAAAUCCCUCAAACAAAAUAUGUCACCAUGAACUAGGAGCUCAAGUAAGGAUCACUAGAACCCAUAGAAAAAUAGUAGUUCCCACAAAAUCAAAAUUUGAAAUCGACUCAACACUCCAUUAAAGAGAAUCAAUUGCAUUUUAGUAUCUUAUGUAAUUAUAGCAAGGCGAAGCUUUGACCUAUGACUUACUAUCCACUAUAUCAAAACUCCUUAUGAAUUGGUGUUUAUUAUUUAACAAGGUAGUGUUAUCAAACCUCUCAAGAUUACCUUUCCGAUCAUUAAGUCAAAAAUGAUCCUAUUAUGUAACAAAUUGAUAUACUAUAACUCAUAAAGAACUUAUGUUAAAUUCCACUAAAGGAAUUGUUUUGGACAAGUCUUGUUGAUCACAUAUCCAUUAGAUCACCUAAUGGUUUACUAUCCUAAUCACAUAAGAUAUCAUAGUAUUUUUUUAUUGAAAAUACCUAUUGCUACCAGCCUCUAUUAACAUUGACCCAAUUUGUAGGAAUAUAUGAUCAUAUUAGGGUUUCAAAUCAUAGGUCAAAGUCUCUUGUUGACAUCAACAUAGUUUUAACAUCCUCUUAAGGUUAAGAGUUCAUGGAGUAUAGUAGUUUGGUGAAUCCUAAUAAUUGAUAGUUUUACAUCAUGACUCACCGUAGGCCCUAUUUAAUGUAUAACUAUAUAUACUAAUGCACUUAUAAUGGAAACUCUAUCUUGAUGCUUAAGACAACUUACUUCUCUAAUUAGAAGGUAGUAUACUACAAUUUAUGUUAAAUUGCACAAAUUCAUAAACCAAAUAUGAAUUACUAUCAUUUUGUAAAGAACUCACGACUUAAAUCUUUUGUGUUUUUCUUAAUGCACUUAAGUUAUAUACAAUAUAAGUGGUAUGAACAUGAAUGUUUGGAUAACCAAUUAAUAUAUAAGGGAUAAUAAGAGGAAUAAGAAAUAUAAAUAAAUAAUUUUAUCAAUGAAUUUAAAAUUUGUUACAUCAUGUCAUGCUUUAUAUAACUCUAUCCCGACAUGUUUGAAGUACUUUUGGUUUGAUUUUUAAAACAGAGUUAGUAGGUAUUCAUUUGGCACCUCAUAUGAAGCUUAGUGCAAAGAUGUCUCCUUACUCAUACGAAGAAGUCGUCGAGGACAUGAAUAAUGUUUCAUAUGAUAAUGUCAUUGAAAGUUUGAUGCAUCUCAUAUUUUUGCACUAAGCUUAACAUUUCACAUGCUAUUAGUAAUUCAUAAAUCCAAUGAAAAAACCUUGACAAAUACUUUGAUAUAUGUUAUUGCACAGUUGGUGUUAGAGUAGUGUUCUAACCAAAAAGUUUAGCACAAGCUACGAGUGUGAUGGAUUUGGAGUCUUUAGGUGAACUUGAUAAGCUCAAGUCUACCAUUUCUAUAUUUAUGAAUGUUUUCAAUUGUCAAUUUAUUUUCUAUAUUUCUAUUUUUUUUAUUAUUGAGCUUUUAUUUUAGAAUAAUUAAAAUAUAUUAUCAAAAAAUACCUUAUUUUUAGGACAAGUUCUUGAAAAAAUGAUUUUUAUGGAAAAAAUAUUAAAUAUAUUGUUGAGUAUGAAAGUCAAUUUUAAAAUACAAUUUUAUAAAAAAUAAGUUUGAAUUUACCAAUCUAAUAAGUCAAACCAUCGAUUAAUUGAUGUUUCAUUAAUUGAUGUUUCAAUAUACAAUUGACUCUGCAUCGUCCAAAUCAAUAAUAUAAUUUUAAUUUGAUGCCUAAUUUAAUUUUUAAAACAUUAUUGAAUUAAGAUUAGAGAUUCGACGAUGAUUGAUCUAGCCAUUAACCAUGAAUUUAUAACAUUUUUGUGCAAUGACCGAUUCAAUUUUUAAAACAUUGUUGAAACAAGGUUAGAGAUCGG